GUCGCCACCCAAGAAGUGCGCCGAACUGCUCAAAAAAAAAAAAAAAAGGUGCGCCGAAGGUUGGAGUCCCCGCCGUCGGCCGUCGCCGGCAUAUCCGACCCGCGGCAAUUCGUCAAUCCCCGACGCGUCUCUUGGCUCUUGCCGUCCGGCCAGCCCGCCCGUCGCCGCCAUCGACCAUCCUGAACUGGGAGUCUUCGACCCUAAUCCCAUCAACACCGCCGCCAUCCACUCCACCCAGUGAGGACUCAAAAGAUAUGCUGAAGAAUGUGGACUGGAAGACAGUGGGCGGUGCAGUAACUACUGAAUCUAGCCAGCCAGUCAUCAAGAAGCGCCUUCCAAAGAAGAUCAGACAAGUUCCUGAGUGUUAUUUUCUGCCUCGGCGAUCUUUGCCUUCUGCAUUGGCAAUCUAUGGUGCCGUUUGUGCUGCUGGUGUUGGUGCAGGAAUGCUGCUUGAGGUGUGGAUAAACAAAAAGAUCAAAGAGGAUGGUGGCAUUAUCUGGGAGAUGGAUAAAUGAUGUUAUGGUGGAACCACUUCUGGGACUAAGAUGACUCCCUCCUUGUCCUUGGAAUGGCUACAAUAACGUCUACCCGUUGCAACUUGCAAGACGGGAAGACCCUUUGAUUGGUACUUCUCACAUUGAAUCUAUUGUAUGGACCUUUGCAUUCACACAGCUGGAAGGUGAAUAUCGACUGGUAGCAAGCGUUUUUGCCUUAUGUAUAUGCUUCUGUGGACCUUUUUGUCCUAAAGGACGGCCUCACGCCGAUGCAACAUCUCGCUCUUCCUUCCAGAUCCUAUUGCCACGAACUGUGCAAUGACUUGUAGCAGCUCUAAAAAGGGUUUAAAACAGCAAAACCUGUAUUGUAUUUGUUUGAGAAGUACAAAUGGCUUCAUAUCCA